rnacentral:rRNA from 1 species
UACGGAGGGGGCUAGCGUUGUUCGGAAUUACUGGGCGUAAAGCGCACGUAGGCGGCUUUGUAAGUUAGAGGUGAAAGCCCAGGGCUUAACCCUGGAAUUGCCUUUAAGACUGCAUCGCUAGAAUCGUGGAGAGGUGAGUGGAAUUCCGAGUGUAGAGGUGAAAUUCGUAGAUAUUCGGAAGAACACCAGUGGCGAAGGCGGACUUACUGGACACAUAUUGACGCUGAGGUGCGAAAGCGUGGGGAGCAAACAGG